CACAGCUCUAGGUUCUUCUCGCCCAACGGGCUGCUGAGGGAAGUCAAUGAAGUGAACAAGAUGAAUGAGUCUCUGCAGUCGGAGCUGCAGAAAGUGUGCAGAGACAUGGAGCAGAGUGAACAUCUGGUGGAGACGCUGCAGGCCGAAGUGUCAGCUCUCAGGAGGCGAGUCAGAG